CCGGGCCCCCCUUUUGCUCACGCUUGUGGCCUGCGUCAGGGUGACCCUAUGUCCCCCAUGCUUUUCAUCCUUGCAAUUGACCCGCUUCAGCUUAUGCUCCGGGCUGCCUCCAACGCCGGGAUUCUGCAGCCGAUCAAGGCUCGUUCGGCUUCCUGCAGAAUUUCACUUUACGCUGAUGACGCGGGCAUCUUUGCCAACCCUGUGAAGGAAGAAUUGGACGCCAUUGCGGGGAUACUUGCCUGUUUUGGGGAGGCAUCG
rnacentral:rRNA from 1 species